UUGUAGCUGAUGGGAAGCAGGUUAAUAUUCCUGCACCGUCGUUAGAUGCGAUGGGGGGACGGAUCGCGGAAGGUUGUCCGGGUGUUGGAUGUCCCGGUUCUUGACCUGGAGAAGGCUGUUAGGAAAAUCCGGCAGCGUAAUUCAAGGGGUUGAGACUAGCGAGCUUGCUCGCAAAGCAAUCGGAAGUGGUUCCAAGAAAAGCCUCUAAGCUUCAGUCUAACGAGACCGUACCGCAAACCGACACAGGUGGGCGAGAUGAGUAUUCUAAGGCGCUUGAGAGAACUCGGGAGAAGGAACUCGGCAAAUUUGUACCGUAACUUCGGGAUAAGGUACGCCCUAGUAGCUUUACCGUGAACAACGGAAGGGUGAAUGGGCUGCAAUAAAAAGGUGGCUGCGACUGUUUAAUAAAAACACAGCACUCUGCAAACACGAAAGUGGACGUAUAGGGUGUGACGCCUGCCCGGUGCUGGAAGAUUAAAUGAUGGGGUGCAAGCUCUUGAUUGAAGUCCCAGUAAACGGCGGCCGUAACAAUAACGGUCCUAAGGUAGCGAUAUUCCUUGUCGGGUAAGUUCCGACCUGCACGAAUGGCGUAACGAUGGCCACACUGUCUCCUCCCGAGACUCAGCGAAGUUGAAAUGUUUGUGAUGAUGCAAUCUACCCGCGGCUAGACGGAAAGACCCCACGAACCUUUACUGUAGCUUUGCAUUGGACUUUGAACCAAUCUGUGUAGGAUAGGUGGGAGGCUUUGAAGCGGGGACGCUAGUCCUCGUGGAGCCAACCUUGAAAUACCACCCUGGUUUGUUUGAGGUUCUAACCUUGGUCCGUUAUCCGGAUCGGGGACAGUGCAUGGUAGGCAGUUUGACUGGGGCGGUCUCCUCCCAAAGGGUAACGGAGGAGUUCGAAGGUACGCUAGGUACGGUCGGACAUCGUGCUAAUAGUGCAAUGGCAUAAGCGUGCUUAACUGCGAGACUGACAAGUCGAGCAGGUACGAAAGUAGGACAUAGUGAUCCGGUGGUUCUGUAUGGAAGGGCCAUCGCUCAACGGAUAAAAGGUACUCUGGGGAUAACAGGCUGAUUCCUCCCAAGAGUUCAUAUCGACGGGGGAGUUUGGCACCUCGAUGUCGGCUCAUCACAUCCUGGGGCUGUAGCCGGUCCCAAGGGUAUGGCUGUUCGCCAUUUAAAGUGGUACGUGAGCUGGGUUUAAAACGUCGUGAGACAGUUUGGUCCCUAUCUGCCGUGGGCGUUGGAAGUUUGAGGGGGGCUGCUCCUAGUACGAGAGGACCGGAGUGGACGAACCUCUGGUGUACCGGUUGUCACGCCAGUGGCAUCGCCGGGUAGCUAAGUUCGGAAGAGAUAACCGCUGAAAGCAUCUAAGCGGGAAACUUGCCUCAAGAUGAUACUUCCCGGGAACUUGAUUCCCCUAAAGGGUCGUUCGAGACCAGGACGUUGAUAGGCUGGGUGUGGAAGCGCAGUAAUGCGUUAAGCUAACCAGUACUAAUUGCCCGUGAGGCUUGUCCCC
rnacentral:rRNA from 1 species